rnacentral:rRNA from 1 species
UGCCCCAUAGUCUGGGAUACCACUUGGAAACAGGUGCUAAUACCGGAUAAGAAAGCAGAUCGCAUGAUCAGCUUAUAAAAGGCGGCGUAAGCUGUCGCUAUGGGAUGGCCCCGCGGUGCGUUAGCUAGUUGGUAGGGUAACGGCCUACCAAGGCAAUGAUGCAUAGCCGAGCUGAGAGACUGAUCGGCCACAUUGGGACUGAGACACGGCCCAAACUCCUACGGGAGGCAGCAGUAGGGAAUCUUCCACAAUGGACGAAAGUCUGAUGGAGCAACGCCGCGUGAGUGAAGAAGGUUUUCGGACCGUAAAGCUCUGUUGUUGGUGAAGAAGGAUAGAGGUAGUAACUGGCCUUUAUUGACGGUAAUCAACCAGAAAGUCACGGCUAACUACGUGCCAGCAGCCGCGGUAAUACGUAGGUGGCAAGCGUUGUCCGGAUUUAUUGGGCGUAAAGCGAGCGCAGGCGGAAGAAUAAGUCUGAUGUGAAAGCCCUCGGCUUAACCGAGGAACUGCAUCGGAAACUGUUUUUCUUGAGUGCAGAAGAGGAGAGUGGAACUCCAUGUGUAGCGGUGGAAUGCGUAGAUAUAUGGAAGAACACCAGUGGCGAAGGCGGCUCUCUGGUCUGCAACUGACGCUGAGGCUCGAAAGCAUGGGUAGCGAACAGGAUUAGAUACCCUGGUAGUCCAUGCCGUAAACGAUGAGUGCUAAGUGUUGGGAGGUUUCCGCCUCUCAGUGCUGCAG